rnacentral:lncRNA from 1 species
GCAAAGGUUAAGCUUGGGGGAUCUUGUUGACGGUGGAUAUACCAUAGAAAUCCACAUACAAAACACCGUCAACAUGCCUCGGUUGCAAGGAGAAACGACAUGACAUGAACAUAUUUUAUCCAUAACUAGUUCCACUUGUACUCUUAGCUUGUUUAUGCAGGAACAACAAAUUCAAGACAUUAUUUGACAAAGCCAACAUCAGAAUCAUCAAGAGG